rnacentral:rRNA from 1 species
UACGAAGGGGGCUAGCGUUGCUCGGAUUGACUGGGCGUAAAGCGCACGUAGGCGGCGAUUCAAGUCAGAGGUGAAAGCCCGGGGCUCAACCCCGGAACUGCCUUUGAAACUAGAUUGCUAGAAUCCUGGAGAGGUUAGUGGAAUUCCGAGUGUAGAGGUGAAAUUCGUAGAUAUUCGGAAGAACACCAGUGGCGAAGGCGACUAACUGGACAGGUAUUGACGCUGAGGUGCGAAAGCGUGGGGAGCAAACAGG